ensembl:lncRNA
AUUUCAGCUGCAUAUGGCUUGGAUCCAGUGGAGAAGAAAAAUCUCCAGCACCCUUGCAGUUGUUUGUCGUAGACCUGGGUUCUCUCAGUACGGAAACAUUCACUUCCUAGAUAGUCUGAGACUCACAGCUGAAAGUUAUGAGAUUUCCCUGGAAUUAGAGCUGAGAAUUAUCCCAAAACCCUGCAUUCAAACAGGAUAAUGUCAGUAGGAUCUGGACCUCCUUUUGAUCCUUAUAGCAUCAACCCCUCUCCAAGCUCAAAGCAAGGCAGAUUGUAACUUGCUAUCUUGGCCCACAUGAACAUCAAGAUAGAUGCUGUAGUCUUCUUUGUUCCUUGAAUGUCAAUUUUAAGUGUGAGUCAUUGUGGCUUCAGUAAGCAGGGAACCUCUCAGACAAGGUCUUACUGAGAGAGAUGGGAAUUGAUAGCUUAUGCAGAAGAUCCAGUUUUAAAGAUAUGGAGCUGGAUUCUCAAGGACACUUCCAUUGAUUCCUAAAUGCUUUAUACGAUCCAGUCAUAAUGACUGAACCCAUAAAUAAUUAAUUUCAAGAUUUGUUUUCUAAUUUUGAGCACUUUGUUCCACCUUGUUACAGUGCUUAAUAAAACAAAGUAUCAACAUAUAUCCUAAUUAACAGCUUAAAGCUCUGUUGCACUCAUUAUCUCCUGACGAGUGGUCGUUUUGCUUCACAACCAAGUCCACUAACUUGGGUUGCAAGGUGUCAUUCUUAGUUUCCCAGUACAGCUCUAUGCCUUUUUCUCAUUAAGAGAACUGAAUGUGAUUUCUUACAUCAGGGUGGAGUAACUUAACAAUGAACAACUUGGCAAAAUUGGGCUUUAUGUAAUUACUUGAGGAUUUGGCCCAACAUACUGGUACAACAUGAGAUGUAUCUCAUGAUCUUUCACUUGCGUAACCCUUUUCCUCUUGUUGUUUAUUGUCAUCCCUUGCUGGGUUAGUUCCUUGGGGCAGAGACCUUUUAUUUAAUUAGUCUGGAGAGGGCCUGGCACACCUACAGAGCCAUAUUAAUGAGAAACAGUACUAACCUACCCACGAGGAGCUGUGAGCUUCCUUACAAGAUAUGCGACAGGGUACAACCACAGUGAUCAGUCAUGCUCUGAACCAACAGGGCUCACCUGGGAUUGUCUUUGGUGGGAAACUUAUCACCGUUUGUCCCCAGGCCUUUUUCCUCUUAUGUUUGGAGCAAUGUCAUUAUGAUAGAUCACCUUCUGAUUAGAUUUAUCUUAAAUAAUAAGAUAAUAAGUGUUUCUUCCAACCUCUAGAACUCCAAGACAUUGGAAGAGGAAAAAAAAAAGCAAGUGGACAGCAGGACUCAUGGCGCUUGUCUCCAAAAUAUUUUUAUCUCAUGGUUGUUUAACUAAUAAUGAAAAAGCACUACGAUUACAGGAUUUCCAUCAAUAUCAGUCAUAAG